UACCGUACCUGUGCAGCUGUUUUGUU
rnacentral:piRNA from 1 species